UUGAAACAACUAUUCCUAUAUGAUCUCCAAAGUUAAGCAACAUUGAGCUUGGUCAGUACCUAGAUGGGUGACUACUUGUGAGAACCAGGUGCUGUAAG